CCUUUCCUCUUUUUCCGCCGUCCAGUUGGUUUCUUCGCUCGUUUCGAUCUUCUCCGCGUUUCGUUUCUUUUCUCAACCCUCUCGUACCAUCCGACCAAUAUCGAUCGCGCUAUCUUGCGAAUCACAAGUUUCGAGUUAUCCACGCUGACGAUUUCUAGUUUGCGUAGCUCGUAUGUAGGUGUAAUUUCUCUUUCUUAAACGGUAACACGUUUGGUAGUGGGACAAACGAAGUUCUGUAAGUGAAUCUUGCGAGUUACAAGCUCUAGUCGAUCGUUUUAUCAAACGUGGAAUUAUAAACUCUCGUAAAAGCUGGGUGUGCAACAAGAACCUAUAAAUCUACGGACUGUCACGACCGUUAAUUCAGCGAUAUCGUCAGGAAAUUGCGCCAAAAGGUCCCACCAGGUUUCUCCGCGUUUCUCUUCUCUGAUUUUCCUUUUGUAUCGUAGGAUCAUCGGACCGGAAACGGCGCGGUAAAAGUCGUGAAAACGAAAACGAAUUUACCGCGUGUUCGAGCGAAGCGAAAAAUUAAACGAUGUAGCGAAAUCCUGACGAACGCCGGACCUUGUACGACUAACUGGCAAAGUGUCACCGUACGCGACGAUCGUCCUGGUAUCGAGGUCCACUCGACGACUAUUAAGUAACAGGACGAGGUUUGAUCAGACGCGUGUGCGUGUAACACGUUAAAUAAGAAAAGGGGAAAGUAUCGAAGCACUCGAUCGUUCUGUAAAUCGCAUGUCGUCUCGCGAUAACGUUCGAUAUCCAAGAGAGAACGUAUCGCCGUGACGGAGAUGCUAGUGAUAAAGAGAGCCGCGAAAAUGAAGGAUAGCCGAUGGUAACGUGAAAAUGUUCUGUUCACGAUUAGAUUGUUCGCCAAGCGUAUACACGCGAGUGUAUUAUGGUGUUGCGUACAACGCUUGUCGCACGCCUAACGCGGCAUUCAUGGAAUGUUGCAUGUAAUACCAGAUGUUUGCAAGGUUCCGAAGAGGUUCGCGGACGCGUGUUACAAUGUAACUAUUACGUAAUGGAAGGCUGAUGUUGUUUGAACACGGAGAACGGCAGCCAACACUCAGCAUUUAAUCUAAGUAUGUAUGUACUUAAGUACGUACGUCCACGACGCGCAAAAUUUCUGCAACCAGUCGCUUCGACACAACUCCGCGAGCAUGCGACGAUUGUAAAUUUGAUUUACUUUCACUGGGGAUCGCUCGCGACCUUUUUGUGCGUGGCUCGAUUGUUAAAAAUAUCAAAUGCAAGGGAAAAUACGGCAAUGGAACGUGGGUUGGACGUUGAUUAUAACGAAAGAAGAGAUUCAGAUAACUGCGAAAAAUUGGACUUUAAUUUACCGAUCUCUGGUAAUAGUCGUGCUAUCUACUGUUUUAAUUUGAAUAUAUUUAUACGGCAUUUUUAACUUUAAUCUUCUCCUUCCUUACUUUUUAUUCUCUCGUUAUACGCUAUUCUUCACAUUUGCUUUCUUUUACUUCGCUCAAAAACGUAACAAAAUUUUCGCAAGAAGAAUAUUCUUCUUUGAAAUAGUAAUAUAUAUAUACAUAAUAUAAAUUGGUCGCGUCAAUCCAAAAACCAGUUCCUUCCUUUUUUUCGAUAGACAAACGAGUAACCGAAACGACGAUUAUAAAAUGAAACGCGUUUUAUUUAAACGAUUGCGUAAAACAGAACGCAUCUUGUUUAACGACACAUCGAUGUCGUUUAACGCGCCGAAAAGAACGAAUUCGUUGCUUUCACCGGGCGAAAUAAAUUUCUUCGCUUCUUCUCGGAUGGACGCGCAACUUUCGGAAGUGUAACGAUCGCCGUUAAAAAAAAAGAAAAUAAGAUUGCUCGUUCGAACUGUUCGAACAGAUUCAUAUGUAAUAGGGAAAGAGAACAGCAACGCGUCGAAUUAUAUCCACUUUUCCUCGUUCGCUUUUACGAUCGCCACAUACAUAAUCGUGAAACUGCCAAAGAUAACUUUCCACUCGUAUACCUACACGAAAAAAAAAAAAGAAAAAGAAAAAGAAACGAGAGGAAAGAAAAAAGAGAUAAUACAAAACGAAAACCAAAUGAAAGGCAGACAUUUUACAAAUUAAAUAUGUGUAGAAUAACCGAUGGAUAACACAAAAAGAUACGAAGAAACGAAACGAACGAUUCGCAAUUCGUACAGGUUUUCGCGAGGAAACUUUUCUUCCGGGCCGAUCCACUGAAUUUUCGAAGACAUUUGCACGUCCCUGGGUCAUAGAGAUAGGACCGCCCCUGCCGAAGAAGUAGGCGGCGUUCACCAGCCCUGAUCGUUGGUAUUACUCGGCACUCUAACGUGGUGCCGGAGAUCAGGGUUAGCGAAGAAACGGCAUGCGAUGGCGGCCGACCGAACCUGAACAUUCUUCCACUUUUUCAACCCCCUGGAUCUUUAUCAGCUCGCCAUCCAGACCAGUUGCGCCACAAUUUCCGCCCGAUAACCGCGCUGCACCGUAACCGCUGCCAAUACUUCCCACCAGUGAAAACUGUCCUUCGUUUCCGGUCCGGGUAAUGGGAAAAUGCAUGCGUGAAAAAUUCGCUUGAAAGCCUACGGAUGUAACAGGCUGUUACAGGUAACACAGCGGUACGGUAUGCAGCGGUUGACACGAAAGUUGGCCGUACGAGAAAUUCCUUUCGAAGACGCGCGCCUCGAUGGCAUUCAACCUUUGGAGAUAUUUAUUUUUGGAAACGCCUCGUGCUACUCGGUACCUCGAUUUAGAUAGCGUGGGAGGAGAAUUUGAUAUACGGCGAUUUAUUAAUUUCACGACGCUGACUAUGAACGUGUCGGACACCACGCAUACCGUCCGUUUAUUCCGCAAUGUUCGGAUCUCAAUUCCACAGAGAUAAUCCUGAAAGUAUCUGCAAAGGUGAGGGAAGGAGAUACCAUUAUCGAUGCAUACCGGCUCACCCAAUAAAACGUUGGUAGCUUACAGCCCUGGAUCGUCAUUCUGCACGUCCGUGGAUGAAACUCUUGGAGAAAAGCAAGAGAUGCUGCAGUUCACUCUACUUCUUUCUUCCUCUCUCGUCCAGUACGUUCUCUUUCUCCACUGACCAACAGCAACGGAAUAAAUAAAGUAAAUAGAGGAAUAUAGGAGGUAAAUAAAAAAUGUGGCAGCAGAGAAGAGAGACAGAGAAAGAGAGAGACAGAGACAAGGAGAGAGAGAGAGAGAGAGAGAGAGGGGAGUGUGUGAGAGGAAGGAGGGAGGGAGGUAAGGAGAAAAAGAGAGUUAAAGGGAAAGAAGGAGAGGAAAGAAGAGAGGAAGGGAGAGUGCCCUCAGGGCGAAUUCCCGUCGAGCAUCGGCCGCUGCAGAAUCCAGAGGUGCGUUCACCGGGGAAAUCCCUCCCUCGGAGAUUAUCCUCUUGAAGAAAACUCGACGACUGUGCAUUUUUAACGCGCGCCGUGUACGACCGCGUGUUCCUUUAUUUACAAUUGCGUUUUCUUAAGCGCACUUCACUCUUCUUUCGUCGCAUUUUUAGCAAAGUCAUAUUUACGCCAGGCAAAACUAACGAUAGAUUGUACACUUGGAAUUGUACAAGAUAAACGAGACAAAGUUGUAAAUUUGAAACUUCUUUAAUCGAUGGACGAACACGUAAAAUGUGAAAGACAAUUUCACUCGUCAGCUUUAAUUUAAUAUUACUAUUAUUACGUGAUACAAGUAGGUUUAAUAGGUGAAGCGAAUGAUAAUAAUUAAUUAUUAUAAUUUUAUUUGGUUAUUUAUUUUAUUAAUUUUG